rnacentral:rRNA from 1 species
UUGGCGAUCACAGGCGAUGAAGGACGUAGUAGCUUGCGAUAAGCUGCGGGGAGCUGGCAAACAAGCUUUGAUCCGCAGAUUUCCGAAUGGGGAAACCCACCACGUAAGUGGUAUCCUUGACUGAAUACAUAGGUCAUGGAGGCGAACCGGGUGAACUGAAACAUCUCAGUAACUCGAGGAAAAGAAAUCAACCGAGAUUCCGAUAGUAGCGGCGAGCGAAAUCGGAGCAGCCUGUACGAGAUAGUCGUUGUCAUAGAAGAACGGAUUGGAAACUCCGGCCAUAGCAGGUGAUAGCCCUGUAUUCGAAAUGUCAACGGUGGUACUAAGCGUAGAACAAGUAGGGCGGGACACGUGAAAUCCUGUCUGAACAUGGGGGGACCAUCCUCCAAGGCUAAAUACUCGUGAUCGACCGAUAGUGAACCAGUACCGUGAGGGAAAGGCGAAAAGAACCGCGGUGAGCGGAGUGAAAUAGAUCCUGAAACCGUGUGCAUACAAACAGUAGGAGCGGGCUUGUCCCGUGACUGCGUACCUUUUGUAUAAUGGGUCAGCGACUUACAUUCAGUGGCAAGCUUAACCGAUUAGGGAAGGCGUAGCGAAAGCGAGUCCGAAUAGGGCGUCAAGUCGUUGGGUGUAGACCCGAAACCAAGCGAUCUAUCCAUGGCCAGGUUGAAGGUACGGUAACACGUACUGGAGGACCGAACCCACUAAUGUUGAAAAAUUAGGGGAUGAGCUGUGGAUAGGGGUGAAAGGCUAAACAAGCUUGGAAAUAGCUGGUUCUCCCCGAAAACUAUUUAGGUAGUGCCUCAAGUAUUACUCCAGGGGGUAGAGCACUGUUAUGGCUAGGGGGUCAUAGAGACUUACCAAACCAUUGCAAACUCCGAAUACCUGGAAGUAGAGCUUGGGAGACAGAGCACCGGGUGCUAACGUCCGGACUCAAGAGGGAAACAACCCAGACCGCCAGCUAAGGUCCCCAAAUAUAGCUAAGUGGGAAACGAAGUGGGAAGGCAUAGACAGUCAGGAAGUUGGCUUAGAAGCAGCCAUCCUUUAAAGAAAGCGUAAUAGCUCACUGAUCGAGUCGUCCUGCGCGGAAGAUGUAACGGGGCUAAGCUAUAUACCGAAGCUGCGGAUUUGCAAUUAUAUUGCAAGUGGUAGGGGAGCGUUCUGUAAGCCUGCGAAGGUGGCUUGUAAAGGCUGCUGGAGGUAUCAGAAGUGCGAAUGCUGACAUGAGUAGCGAUAAAGGGGGUGAAAAGCCCCCUCGCCGUAAGUCCAAGGUUUCCUACGCAACGUUCAUCGGCGUAGGGUGAGUCGGCCCCUAAGGCGAGGCAGAGAUGCGUAGCUGAUGGGAAGCAGGUUAAUAUUCCUGCACCGAAUUACAAUGCGAUGGGGGGACGGAUCGCGGAAUCAUGCGUGGACUGUUGGAUGUCCAUGGCUGGGUCAAAGAAGGCGCUUAGGUAAAUCCGGGCGCGUAAUUCAAGGGCUUGGCCGCAGUUAACUACGGUUAGCAAUGCGUGAGGAAGGGGUCCCAAGAAAAGCCUCUAAGCUUCAGUUGUAAUCGACCGUACCGCAAACCGACACAGGUGGACGGGAUGAAUAUUCUUAGGCGCUUGAGAGAACUCGGGAGAAGGAACUCGGCAAAUUGAUACCGUAACUUCGGGAUAAGGUAUGCCCAUGGGGGUGUAGAGCCUGCGCUCGAAGCCUCUGUGGGUCGCAGAUAAUAGGUGGCUGCGACUGUUUAAUAAAAACACAGCACUCUGCAAACACGAAAGUGGACGUAUAGGGUGUGACGCCUGCCCGGUGCCGGAAGGUUAAUUGAUGGGGUGCAAGCCCUUGAUCGAAGCCCCGGUGAACGGCGGCCGUAACAAUAACGGUCCUAAGGUAGCGAAAUUCCUUGUCGGGUAAGUUCCGACCUGCAUGAAUGGCGUAACGAUGGCCACACUGUCUCCUCCCGAGACUCAGCGAAGUUGAAAUGUUUGUGAUGAUGCAAUCUACCCGCGGCUAGACGGAAAGACCCCAUGAACCUUUACUGUAGCUUUACAUUGAGCUGUGAACCGGUCUGUGUAGGAUAGGUGGGAGGCGCUGAAGCGAGGACGCUAGUUCUUGUGGAGCCGUCCUUGAAAUACCACCCUGGUUUGUUUGCGGUUCUAACCUAGGCCCGUUAUCCGGGUCGGGGACAGUGUAUGGUGGGCAGUUUGACUGGGGCGGUCUCCUCCUAAAGAGUAACGGAGGAGU